rnacentral:rRNA from 1 species
AGAGUUUGAUCCUGGCUCAGGACGAACGCUGGCGGCACGCUUAACACAUGCAAGUCGAACGAGAGAAGAGGAGCUUGCUUUUCUGAUCUAGUGGCGGACGGGUGAGUAACACGUGAGCAAUCUGCCUUUCAGAGGGGGAUACCGAUUGGAAACGAUCGUUAAUACCGCAUAAUAUAAUUGAACCGCAUGAUUUGAUUAUCAAAGAUUUAUCGCUGAAAGAUGAGCUCGCGUCUGAUUAGCUAGUUGGUAAGGUAACGGCUUACCAAGGCGACGAUCAGUAGCCGGACUGAGAGGUUGAUCGGCCACAUUGGGACUGAGACACGGCCCAGACUCCUACGGGAGGCAGCAGUGGGGAAUAUUGCACAAUGGAGGAAACUCUGAUGCAGCGAUGCCGCGUGAGGGAAGAAGGUUUUAGGAUUGUAAACCUCUGUCUUCAGGGACGAAAAAAGACGGUACCUGAGGAGGAAGCUCCGGCUAACUACGUGCCAGCAGCCGCGGUAAUACGUAGGGAGCGAGCGUUGUCCGGAAUUACUGGGUGUAAAGGGAGCGUAGGCGGGAUCGCAAGUCAGAUGUGAAAACUAUGGGCUUAACCCAUAAACUGCAUUUGAAACUGUGGUUCUUGAGUGAAGUAGAGGUAAGCGGAAUUCCUAGUGUAGCGGUGAAAUGCGUAGAUAUUAGGAGGAACAUCAGUGGCGAAGGCGGCUUACUGGGCUUUAACUGACGCUGAGGCUCGAAAGCGUGGGGAGCAAACAGGAUUAGAUACCCUGGUAGUCCACGCCGUAAACGAUGAUUACUAGGUGUGGGGGGACUGACCCCUUCCGUGCCGCAGCAAACGCAAUAAGUAAUCCACCUGGGGAGUACGACCGCAAGGUUGAAACUCAAAGGAAUUGACGGGGGCCCGCACAAGCAGUGGAGUAUGUGGAUUAAUUCGAAGCAACGCGAAGAACCUUACCAGGUCUUGACAUCGUAUGCAUAGCUCAGAGAUGAGUGAAAUCUCUUCGGAGACAUAUAGACAGGUGGUGCAUGGUUGUCGUCAGCUCGUGUCGUGAGAUGUUGGGUUAAGUCCCGCAACGAGCGCAACCCUUACUGUUAGUUGCUACGCAAGAGCACUCUAGCAGGACUGCCGUUGACAAAACGGAGGAAGGUGGGGAUGACGUCAAAUCAUCAUGCCCCUUAUGACCUGGGCCUCACACGUACUACAAUGGCUGUAAACAGAGGGAUGCAAAGCCGCGAGGUGGAGCGAACCCCUAAAAGCAGUCUUAGUUCGGAUUGUAGGCUGCAACCCGCCUACAUGAAGUCGGAAUUGCUAGUAAUCGCAGAUCAGCAUGCUGCGGUGAAUACGUUCCCGGGCCUUGUACACACCGCCCGUCACGCCAUGGGAGUCGGUAACACCCGAAGCCUGUAGUCUAACCGCAAGGAGGACGCAGUCGAAGGUGGGAUUGAUGACUGGGGUGAAGUCGUAACAAGGUAGCCGUAUCGGAAGGUGCGGCUG